rnacentral:rRNA from 1 species
AUUGAACGCUGGCGGCAGGCCUAACACAUGCAAGUCGAGCGAGCGGCGGACGGGUGAGUAAUGUCUGGGCAUCUGCCUGAUGGCGGGGGAUAACUACUGGAAACGGUAGCUAAUACCGCAUACCAUCAGAUGUACCCAGAUGGGAUUAGCUAGUAGGUGGGGUAAGGGCUGACCUAGGCGACGAUCCCUAGCUGGUCUGAGCGGAUGAUCAGCCACACGGGAACGGAGACACGGUCCAGACUCCUACGGGAGGCAGCGGUGGGGAAUAUUGCACAAGGGGCGCAAGCCUGAUGCAGCCAUGCCGCGUGUGUGAAGAAGGCCUUCGGGUUGUAAAGCACUUUCAGUGGGGAGGCGUUACCGACAGAAGAAGCACCGGCUAACUCCGUGCCAGCAGCCGCGGUAAUUC